AAGGCUGUGAUGAUUGGUGCAGGGGUAUGGCCCUCCACUAAGUCAUGGGAGCUGAAUGUAUGUGUUUCUCCGUUGUCCUGCAUGUGGUGGGUUGAUGGCAAGCACUUCAUGAGACUUGCCUGACUCAGAGCUUG
rnacentral:snoRNA from 12 species